rnacentral:lncRNA from 1 species
CUACAUUUUCAAUCAUGUCGAUAUUCAUCAGUCAUUUUCACUGGUUUCAACCUGCAGCAAAUAUGGUCCAGAAUCCAGAUCGAAUGAUGCCCAAAAAGUACCUGCAGAGCAUGCAAACAACACACAAAAAACACUAACUGUAAUGCAGCAACCAUUUUUUGAAUCCUAUUGAACUAAAAGGGGAGAUCCUUUUUUUCACGUGCGGGAUGAAUUGAAAAAGCACACUAUGUUGAUCUGAAGAACCACGAGAUGUCGAACUGAACAUACACAAGAAAAGGACCGGCAGUAGACCUCGAACUAAAAAC